AUCGCUUCUCGGCCUUUUGGCUAAGAUCAAGUGUAGUAUCUGUUCUUAUCAGUUUAAUAUUUGUUAUUAACCAAAGGCCUUGACCUAGCUAGCACAGUGCCUACACAUCAU
rnacentral:snRNA from 1 species